rnacentral:rRNA from 1 species
AUUGAACGCUGGCGGCAUGCUUUACACAUGCAAGUCGGACGAGUGGCGAACGGGUGAGUAAUAUAUUGGAACGUACCGAGUAAUGGGGGAUAACCAAUCGAAAGAUUGGCUAAUACCGCAUAUUAUUCGAGCGGCCAAUAUCUGAUUAGCUAGUUGGUGGGGUAAAGGCGUACCAAGGCGACGAUCAGUAGCGGGUCUGAGAGGAUGAUCCGCCAGACUGAGACUGAGAUCCGGCCCAGAGUCAUGCGGGAGGCAGCCAUAGGGAAUCUGGGACAAGGGGUGGAGACCUGUGGCAGACAUGCCGCGUGUCUGAAGAAGCACUUCGGUUUGUAAAAGAAAUUUGUUAGGAAAGCAGUACCUAAAGAAUAAGCACCGGCUAACUACGUGCCAGCAGCCGCGGUAAUAC